UACGUAGGGGGCAAGCGUUGUCCGGAAUCAUUGGGCGUAAAGAGCGUGUAGGCGGCCCGGUAAGUCCGCUGUGAAAGUCCAGGGCUCAACCCUGGGAUGCCGGUGGAUACUGUCGGGCUCGAGUCCGGAAGAGGAGUGUGGAAUUCCUGGUGUAGCGGUGAAAUGCGCAGAUAUCAGGAGGAACACCAAUGGCGAAGGCAGCACUCUGGGACGUGACUGACGCUGAGGAGCGAAAGCGUGGGGAGCAAACAGG
rnacentral:rRNA from 1 species